rnacentral:rRNA from 1 species
UGGCGAACGGGUGAGUAAUACGUGAGUGACCUACCUUUGACUCUGGGAUAAGCCUGGGAAACUGGGUCUAAUACCGGAUACGACCAAUCUCCGCAUGGGGUGUUGGUGGAAAGCGUUAUGGAGUGGUUUUAGAUGGGCUCACGGCCUAUCAGCUUGUUGGUGAGGUAAUGGCUUACCAAGGCGACGACGGGUAGCCGGCCUGAGAGGGUGACCGCCACACUGGGACUGAGACACGGCCCAG